rnacentral:rRNA from 1 species
GAUUUCUGGUUUGAUGUUGUUGGCCCGCUGGCACUCGCUGGCUGGUGCCGACUUGCGUCUACCAUCUUUCUAGAGAACUAGCAUGCCCUUCAAUGGAGCGUACUAGGGAUCUAGAUCUUUUACUUUGAAAAAAUUAGAGUGUUUAAAGCAGGCAAUUUGCUAUGAAUACAUUAGCAUGGAAUAAUAAUCUAGGACUUUCGGUUCUAUUUUGUUGGUGUUCUGGAGCUGAAGUAAUGAUUGAUAGGGAUAGUUGGGGGUGCUAGUAUUCAAUGGCCAGAGGUGAAAUUCUCGGAUUCCUUGAAGACUAACUUAUGCGAAAGCAUU